GACGAACGCUGGCGGCGUGCUUAACACAUGCAAGUCGAACGGUGAAGCGCCUUCCUUUUUGGUGGGUGUGGAUGAGUGGCGAACGGGUGAGUAACACGUGAGUAACCUGCCCCCUUCUUCUGGAUAACCGCAUGAAAGUGUGGCUAAUACGGGAUAUUCUGGGUCUGUCGCAUGAUGGGUCUGGGAAAGAUAUUGUUUCGGUGGGGGAUGGGCUCGCGGCAUAUCAGCUUGUUGGUGGGGUGAUGGCCUACCAAGGCGGUGACGGGUAGCCGGCCUGAGAGGGUGGACGGUCACACUGGGACUGAGACACGGCCCAGACUCCUACGGGAGGCAGAAGUGGGGAAUAUUGCACAAUGGGCGCAAGCCUGAUGCAGCGACGCCGCGUGAGGGAUGGAGGCCUUCGGGUUGUGAACCUCUUUCGCCAGUGAAGCAGGCCUGCCUCGUUUGUGGGUGGGUUGACGGUAGCUGGAUAAGAAGCGCCGGCUAACUACGUG
rnacentral:rRNA from 1 species